rnacentral:rRNA from 1 species
CAGGUCAGCAUACUGUGGUGAAUACGUUCCCGGGCCUUGUACACACCGCCCGUCACACCAUGAGAGUUGAGAAUACCCGAAGCCCAUGUCAAAGUGGUCGAAGGUAGGCUUGAUGAUUGGGGUGAAGUCGUAACAAGGUAAC